rnacentral:rRNA from 1 species
UACGUAGGGUGCAAGCGUUGUCCGGAAUUAUUGGGCGUAAAGAGCUUGUAGGCGGUUUGUCGCGUCUGCUGUGAAAUUUCGGGGCUCAACCCCGAACUUGCAGUGGGUACGGGCAGACUAGAGUGUGGUAGGGGAGACUGGAAUUCCUGGUGUAGCGGUGAAAUGCGCAGAUAUCAGGAGGAACACCGGUGGCGAAGGCGGUUCUCUGGGCAUUACCUGACGCUGAGGAGCGAAAGCAUGGGGAGCGAACAGG